AGAGUUCGAUCCUGGCUCAGGAUGAACGCUGGCGGCGCGCCUAACACAUGCAAGUCGAACGAUUAAAGCACCUUCGGGUGUGUAUAAAGUGGCGAACGGCUGAGUAACACGUGGGCAACCUGCCCCUCUCAUUGGGAUAGCCACGGGAAACCGUGGAUAAUACCGAAUACUUCGGGACUUCCGCAUGGAAGACCCGAGAAAGCUCCGGCGGAGAGGGAUGGGCCCGCGGCCUGUUAGCUUGUUGGUGGGGUAACGGCCUACCAAGGCAAUGAUGGGUAGCUGGGUUGAGAGACCGACCAGCCAGAUUGGGACUGAGACACGGCCCAGACUCCUACGGGAGGCAGCAGUGGGGAAUCUUGCACAAUGGGCGAAAGCCUGAUGCAGCGACGCCGCGUGCGGGAUGAAGGCCUUCGGGUUGUAAACCGCUUUCAGCAGGGACGAGGCGAAAGUGACGGUACCUGCAGAAGAAGCCCCGGCUAACUACGUGCCAGCAGCCGCGGUAAUACGUAGGGGGCAAGCGUUAUCCGGAUUCAUUGGGCGUAAAGCGCUCGUAGGCGGUCUGUUAGGUCGGGAGUUAAAUCCGGGGGCUCAACCCCCGUUCGCUCCCGAUACCGGCAGACUUGAGUUUGGUAGGGGAAGGUGGAAUUCCUAGUGUAGCGGUGGAAUGCGCAGAUAUUAGGAAGAACACCAGUGGCGAAGGCGGCCUUCUGGGCCAUAACUGACGCUGAGGAGCGAAAGCUAGGGGAGCAAACAGGAUUAGAUACCCUGGUAGUCCUAGCCGUAAACGAUGGACACUAGGUGUGGGGGAAUACUUCUUCCGUGCCGCAGCUAACGCAUUAAGUGUCCCGCCUGGGGAGUACGGCCGCAAGGCUAAAACUCAAAGGAAUUGACGGGGGCC
rnacentral:rRNA from 1 species